rnacentral:rRNA from 1 species
GACGAACGCUGGCGGCGUGCUUAACACAUGCAAGUCGAACGGAAAGGCCCCUUUGGGGGUACUCGAGUGGCGAACGGGUGCGUAACACGUGAGUAACCUGCCCUUGACUUCGGGAUAACUUCAGGAAACUGGGGCCAAUACCGGAUAGGAAUCCUUGCUGCAUGGUGGGGGUUGGAAAGCUUCGGCGGUUUUGGAUGGACUCGCGGCCUAUCAGCUUGUUGGUGGGGUAGUGGCUUACCAAGGCUUUGACGGGUAGCCGGCCUGAGAGGGCGACCGGCCACAUUGGGACUGAGAUACGGCCCAGACUCCUACGGGAGGCAGCAGUGGGGAAUCUUGCACAAUGGGCGGCAGCCUGAUGCAGCAACGCCGCGUGCGGGAUGACGGCCUUCGGGUUGUAAACCGCUUUCAGCAGGGGCGAAGCUUGUGGUGACGGUACCUGCAGAAGAAGCACCGGCUAACUACGUG